AGUAUUGGGCAUGCUUUUAGGAGUGAGUGUCCAAAGAGUGCCAUGUCGGACACAGUGUUGGAGCAGUGGAUUUUGCUGCACCUAUCCACUUAUAUUUCGUUCACAUGUUCUUCCCUAGUCAAGGCAUUUGUUCUAUUUUGGAUUUUGUUUCCCUCUCUUGUAAAAUGCUGAUUCUGUAGUACAUGAAUUCCAUCUACUCUUCAUGAAAUUUCAAUUGAAAAAGGUGUUUUUAAUUUUUUAA